rnacentral:rRNA from 1 species
GAUCCCCCACACUGGUACUGAGACACGGACCAGACUCCUACGGGAGGCAGCAGUGAGGAAUAUUGGGUCAUGGAGGGCACUCUGAACCAGCCAAGCCGCGUGAAGGAAGACUGUUCUAUGAAUUGUAAACUUCUUUUGUGGUAGAGUAAAUAUAGCUACGUGUAGUUAUUUGCAAGUAUACCAUGAAUAAGCAUCGGCUAACUCCGUGCCAGCAGCCGCGGUAAUACGGAGGAUGCAGGCGUUAUCCGGAUUUAUUAGGUUUAAAGGGUGUCUAGGCUGCCACAUAAGUCAGGGGUGAAAGUCGGUUGCUCAACAAUCGAAUUGCCCUUGAAACUGUGUGGCUCGAGUAUAGAUGAGGUAGGCGGAAUGUGUAGUGUAGCGGUGAAAUGCAUAGAUAUUACACAGAACCCCAAUUGCGAAGGCAGCUUACCAAACUAUUACUGACGCUGAAGCACGAAAGCGUGGGUAGCGAACAGGAUUAGAUACCCUGGUAGUCCACGCCGUAAACUAUGCUCACUCGCUGUUGGCAAUAGAUCGUCAGCGGCUAAGGGAAACCGAUAAGUGAGCCACCUGGGGAGUACGAUCGCAAGAUUGAAACUCAAAGGAAUUGACGGGGGCCCGCACAAGCGGAGGAACAUGUGGUUUAAUUCGAUGAUACGCGAGGAACCUUACCUGGGCUUAAAUGUAGAGUGCAUAAAGUGGAAACAUUUUUUUCCUUCGGGACUCUUUACAAGGUGCUGCAUGGUUGUCGUCAGCUCGUGCCGUGAGGUGUCGGGUUAAGUCCCAUAACGAGCGCAACCCCUAUCGUUAGUUACCAGCACGUAGUGGUGGGGACUCUAGCGAAACUGCCGGUGUAAACCGUGAGGAAGGUGGGGAUGACGUCAAAUCAGCACGGCCCUUAUGUCCAGGGCUACACACGUGUUACAAUGGUCGGUACAGUGGGCAGCCACAUAGCAAUAUGGAGCUAAUCUCAAAAGCCGAUCUCAGUUCGGAUUGGAGUCUGCAACCCGACUCCAUGAAGGUGGAUUCGCUAGUAAUCGCGCAUCAGCCAUGGCGCGGUGAUACGUUCCCGGGCUGUACACACCGCCCGUCAGCCAUGGAAGUUUGGGGUGCCUGA